rnacentral:lncRNA from 1 species
CGAGAGAGAGAGAGAGAGAGAGAGAGAGAGAGAGAGAGAGAGAGAGAGAGAGAGAGGGAACGAAAUUGUGCGUGACAAUUAGUUGAGUUGAAACGUGUGUCGUGAAGCAUUGUCAUGUGAGAAUGUUGAUUUUAAUCCGUCGAUCUCAAUUGUUGAGGGAUUUCGAGCCGCGUCGCGAGAAAGAAGUCGCGAGUAAGAAACCGCCGCGAAUCCGGCUUUCUUCUUUUUACACUUUUGAAAUAUUUUGAGCUACAAACUCGAAGCUGAAUGAGAAUUGACUUAUCAAGGAUUUUUUUUUUACCUGUAUCGUGUGUUACGCGAGAUUUUGUGGGUAUGAAUUAUUAAUUUGAUGAUCGCAAACAACGUAUCCAUACAUAUUCUAAUUUGUAUCGAUGACGUGAAAUCGCAAGACAUUCUCUGUGGUGCAAAGAUACUCACAUAACGUCGUUCUCCGUUGAUUGUAGUGUAUGUUAAACUAUGCCGAGAAUAAAAAAACCUAAAAAUCGUGGGUAUCACACAUAUCCUUUUACGUGCCUUUAAAUAUUGAGUCAAUAUAUAAUUGCACACUUCGUGGUUAUCCCAGAAUUAGUGAAAGAUGGAUACGUAGUUUGUUAUCUCUUGUGAAAUUUGAAGUCGAGUUUCGUUAACAAUAAUGACAAAGUAUCGAUCAAGCUUCUGGAGAUAAGUGACUUUUCGCAAAUUAAAUUUCAGAAGGGAAAAUGAAACAUAAUAUGCCAUUAUAAGUCUACAAAGUAGAUUUUUGAGUGCAGAGUAAUUUUGAAAAAAUUACGAGAAAUGAUGACUUUCUUUCACCACAAGUUGACUCCAAACUUCGCGAGGAAUAACGUUCCGUGUUUAUUUAGCGUUAAUUCUGGGACAGCCAGUACAUUUAAGAUCUGCCCAAAAUUAUCGCGCACAUCAGGGAAAUGAGUCAAUACGAGAUUUUUCUUAUUUUACUCAUUCGAAAAACGCGAAUCCUCGUAAAAUUUUCAACGAAAUUUCUCGUGCAGUAUUCGCGUGUGAAAAAUUAAAUCUUAUUUUGAUGAAUUAUCAACACCUCGGCGAAAAAUAGAGUUAUGAGGAACAUGCAGGAACAUCGCGAUAAGGGCACGGUUAUAGGGCGAUGUUUAAAACUGUAAAAUCGUGAAAACGAAGAGAGUACGAAAGGUAACGUAACGAUACAUCGGUAACCGGCCUUUUGGGUGAUGAUGACUGAAUGAAGAUGAUCACAAUGGUAGACUAUGGUAAAACUAUGGGAACGUCCGCUGAUCCUCAAAACAGAAGAAAGUGAGAUAGAAAAAGUACGCAUUGCAGCAGUCAUAUCUUUCAGUUUCCUCGUAAUCAUGUCACCUCCUGGAAUACAGUAAGACUCGCUGAUCGUGAUGCCAAAGUGCAAAUUGGAAUCCUGUGGAUGAAUAUAUUAUGUCAUGAUGAAUUGAUAUCCGUACGUGAACGUGCCUCUGGAUGGAUACGAAGUGUUGAUGCAAAAUGAUGCACGUGAAAAGAUGAGCGAGAGAGCGAGAGCGAGAGAGAGAGAGAGAGAGAGGGGGGAGAGAAAGUUGAAAGAGUUGAAGAAAAUAUGAAAGGGAGAGAGCGAGAGAGAGAGAGAGAGAGAGAGAGAGAGAGAGAGAGAAAGCGAGCGAGAGAGAGAGAGCGAGAGAGAGAGUGAGAGAGAGAGAGAGAGAGAGAGAGAGAGUAUAUAUUUGCAGGAGAAUAUAAUUGCAAGUGAAAUGAUAUGGUGAUGAGGAUGAGCAUGAUGAUAAUGAUGAUGACAUUGCGCUGAGAGCAAGGGUUGCUAGACAGUGAGAGCGAGUGCUUUUUGAAAGCGUGGAGUUUUUUUCGUAAGCGUGCUGUUGAUAUUGCGAGAAUAUCCAUCGCGAUCGACGUUGAUCGUUGAUCGUUAAAUGCCGUGCUUUCGCGACAAGAGACAGGUAAUUCCAAGCUGUUACGAAUGCAGAAGUUAUGAUUGGAGAAUAGAUCUGCGGUCUUUUAUGAGAGGUCAUGGCUGAUAACAUAUGGCGAAGGACUAUAAAAUUAAAGUAAUCAUUGAUAUGAUACAUGAUGUUUAUAUCUAAAGUUUCUCAUGUGUUAUAAAUUAAUUAGUAUAGUAUAAUGUCUAACUGAGCUAUUUAUCAAGAUAUUUAUUUAAAAUUAUGAAAGUGUACAUACAAAGUCACAUCCAUACCAUACAUAUACACACAUAUUUAUCGUAGCUUAUAUGUAUAGAUUAUAUAUAAUGUAUAUUUCUGAUUUUCUCAGUAUGUGUGAUGACAGUAUUUUCUCAAAAUUACCAAUGGAAACAUUAAUAAUCUAUAAAGGCUGUUUUUUUUAAAGUAAUAUAAAUAUCUGUUGUUCAGAUAUAUAUGAGAACAAAUUUUAUUUGCCUG